CAGAUCCAAUGAUGACCGCAUAGUUCAGCAGACUAACCGUGACGAACAAACAGCAUUGUCUUUCGCUCCUAGCUGAUGGAUCGG